rnacentral:pre_miRNA from 1 species
UCUUAUGGAUGAACAAGGAAAGUGGUUUCCUGAGAUAGAAUCUACUCCUGGUGAAGGUGCUGUGAA